rnacentral:SRP_RNA from 1 species
GUCAGGUGUGGUGGCGCAUGCCUGUAGUCCCAGCUACUCAGGAGGCUGAGACAGAAGAAUUACUUGAGCCCAGGAGGCGAAGUUUGCAGUGAGCUGAGAUCAAGCCACUGCACUCCAGCCUGGGCAACAGAGCAAGACUCUGUCUCAA